UUGCAUAGAAGAGGAGAGGGACGAGGAGGAGGAGGAGAAGAAGAAGAAGAAGAAGAAAAGAAGGAAGAGGAGGAGGAGGUAGUGCCGGUGGUAGUGGUGGUGGUAGGAGGAGGAGGACGAUGACGAGGAAGUAGAAGAAAUGAAAAUAAGGAAAAGGGAAGAAAGAGAGUAAAUGGAAGGAAGAAUGACUGAUGAUGAGGGGAUGAUGAGGAUGAAGAUGAUGAAAGUGGAAGCUAUUAGGGACCUUUCUUUUUUCGUCAACACUUUCUUUUCCUAAUUUCACGAACAGGUAUAAAAAAAAAAAACUAAUUUAUACAUUUUCUGAAGCUGGUAUACUCAAGCUGGUAACUCUGCCUAGGUUUACUUAAGGUGACUCUACAGUAUACUCACGCUUGUCUCUUUACGUCACUAACAUAUCCACCAUUAACACGUUUGUCUCCGUCUUCUUGCUCCUAAUUAGACGACCAGGUAAAGUCACGCUUGUCACACUAAUUAAGACAUCCCUCAUUAGUAACACGCUGGUCUCAGGUUCUUUGUUACUAAUCCCCCGCCCGUAAAGUCACGCUUGUCACAUUAAUAAGUGCUCCUAUUUCCACGCACAGGUAGAGUCACGCUUGUCACACUAAUGAAGACAUCCCUCAUUAGUAACACGCUGGUCUCAGGUUCUUUGUUACUAAUCCCCCGCCCGGUAGAGUCACGCUUGUCACACUAAUGAAGACAUCCCUCAUUAGUAACACGCUGGUCUCAGGUUCUUUGUUGCUAAUCCCCCGCCAGAUUAAAAAGUGGUCCCAUUUCCACGAGUAGUCACGCUUGUUAAUUAAAGAGUUACUAACCUGUUCACACAUACACAUUAUUAGUAACAUGGAAACGUUAAGUAAAGAAAGUAAAGUCACGCUGGUCAGAUUCAGAGCUCAGACACACUUAAGAAGAAGAGUAAAAUUAAGAAUAAAACAUAAAUAAAAAAAGAACACAGGAAGGACGUUAAAAGGGGAAUAGAAACAAGAAAAAAAGAACACAGAAAAAACGUUAAAAGGGGAAUAGAAAUAACAAGAAAAAAAAGAACACAAGAAAAACGUUAAAAGGGGAAUAGAAAUAACAAGAAAAAAAAGAACACAAGAAAAACGUUAAAAGGGGAAUAGAAAUAACAAGAAAAAAAAGAACACAAGAAAAACGUUAAAAGGGGAACAGAAAUAACAAGAAAAAAAGAACACAAGAAAAACGUUAAAUGGGGAAUAUAAAUAACAAGAAGAAAAAAAAACAAGAAAAACGUUAAAAGGGGAACAGAAAUAACAAGAAAAAAAAGAACACAAGAAAGACGUUAAAAGGGGAAUAUAAAUAACAAUAA